AGAAGAAAAAAGAAGAAACCCAAUGUGACCUUUGAAUAGAAAAAGCCUACAAAGACAGGACAAAAUUGAAGAUAUGAUUUGGAUUGAAAAAAAAAAUAUCUUGUGUGAUGGAGACCCCUGCAGUUGCUGAGCCCUUGUCAGCGCCCUGUGGAACUGAAGGCAGGUUUCACAUCUUUUACAGCCAGCAGGACUUUAAAGGAAAGGUACAGAUGGCACUACGCAUGAUUCCAGAUGGAUGCAGAUCUAUGGGACUCCAAAUAUGGUGUCAGCCUGGAGUGAAGUAUUUUAUAGAAGGAACGUGUGUAAUUGCAAUGAAAGCGAUGGUUGGACGCGGUGGUCAAGGCAGAUCUCCAGAAUAUCUAGGGUUACUUCAGCGCAGCCUGAAAUGAGGGCAAAUGUGAUGGAGAGGAUGGCGAAGGGGAAGGAUGCGAUGGACUUCACCAGCAGCACUGAAAAUAUGUUUCCUGGGGAGGAAACAAAAUAGCAAGCCUCCUAUCUCCACGGCAUCACCUCUGUUCUAAUUCUGACUUUACCGUUUAUUAGGUGUGGAACCUAAGACAAAUGGCAGGGCUGUGAUAGGAUCAAGCAGCCUCCAGACCAGAGAGCUGCUCAUUUUGCUCAGGGAAGCUGUCAAGAAGACCUCUUUGCUGGUAAACACAUGACAUGCCAGUGCUGCCCCCAGGGAACUGAACUGCAAGAAGUCGCAAAGGGGAAAGAGAGGGAUCAGAAGAAGCAACUGAACCCCCAGAGUCUUAGUGACAGAAAAAGAAAAGAAGUAUGUACAGUGACCAAGGACUGUAUGAUGGGUCCCCUGCCUUCAUUUGGAAAGACCAUCAGCUCAGAGCCUGGUCCAAAAUGUAUGGGCCUCAGAUGUACCUGCAUGGUGGGCCAGCUUCUCCUACUGACCUUCCUGCAAAAAAAAUAAACAGCUCAGUGAUCAGAUCUCAGUCACAGCUGCACCUUCUGCUGAAGGUCUGGUAAUGCUGGAUCCGUAACCCACCGUGCUGGCCAGGGAUCGAACCUGCAUCUAGGGCUUCAGAAAUGCUGCUGAUCCCGUUGCACCACAGCAGGAACUCCAAACAUACGCAUCUUUGAACAGUGACUAACACAGCCCAUUUUCUUGCUCCCGUGAAUCAACAAGGAAGCAAUGGAACUGAUGCCUGAACACGUGUAUUCCCCAGUGAGAAAGGGAAGUUAGAACCAGGAAAGAUUUCUGCCAUCGAGCUCUGUGGAUCUUUUCCCAGAAGGCACUAAAACUGUGAGAGAAAUCCCACACAACUCAGGAAAUAGAACAAGCUUUUACUCCUACUAUAAAUAAUUUUAUCUUUGGGGGAUAGGGUUUUGUUUUUAAUUUAGAGCGAAUUAAUAGGCAUAACACAGACGAACCUGUCCUGGAAGGAAUAUGAUUCUGUGACAAUUGUCAAUUAGAUCAGAUUUUUUAAAUUAUUACAAUCUUAGUUUACACUAUAGUUCUAUGAGUAAUGGUGACAAUUCCCACCAAUUUAUUCUCAAGUUUCAGUUAGGCCUUUAGACCACUAAAUAUUAUUUUUAACUCAGUUUAAAAUGCAUGUGAUAAAGGGGGGAAAUGGCAGAGUUUUUUUUUUUUUUUUCUUCUUCUUUUGGUUCUAUUCUUUUCUUCAGAGUUCUCCCACAUCUGUUUUAAAGCUCAGCUGAUAAACAAUACUUUCUUCCUAGGAACUUGGCUCUUUAUACAUAAAGGAACCACAGUGCUAUUAUGUAUCCCUUCAGAUAAAAUAGGAAUAUACACAAAACACCUACAUGCACACACAGACACACAUAAGCACAGACAGACGCAAACACACACAGUCACUGAUCAAGGGCUCAGUGUUGGCCAGGCCCUGAGCCAGAAGGCCAGUUGCUACAGUUUUCUGAAAUUAAACUGGGCCAGGGUUGACCUUGACCCCGCCAAUAGCUGUCACCAGAGGCUUUGAAAAGACUCUACUUGACACAGUCCAAAUUGUUCUUUAGCCCCAGCAAAGGGGCAUGUAAAGAUCUAUGGAGUUUCAAAGACAUAUUCCUGAUGAUUUCACCUUUGCAGGGUGGGAGCAUGCAUGACUUUGGCUUUUAAAACCUUCUACGAUUACCCAACUCAGUGGGCUGGCUGUUCUAGGGAACCAAACUGCCCAGAAAAUCAUCCAAAACAUGGUAGUUUAAUACAACACGUUGACUGUCUCAGUUUCUGGAAGUUGGUACCUCCGGAGUGGCUUGGCUGGCCCAUCCUGGUGUAUCCUGAGGAUGCAGUCAGGUGGUGGCUCAAGAUGGAACAUCAUCGGGGUUCUUCUCAUCUAUCUGGUGCCAGGGCUGGGAAGACUCAAGCAGCUGCGUUCCUUGGUGUCCACUCCUGUUCCUCUGCACCUGUUCCCUGGAUCUCUCUCCAGCAGGGCAUAUGUUCAAAGGAGCAGGACUUCGCAGGUGUCGGCUGGAGUCUUCGGAGGUGUGUCUCCAUGUGAGGGCGGGAGCUCAGGCAUCACGUCCCUCACAUUUUAAUCAUUAGCAUUGAGUCACUGGUUCAGCCCUCAUUAGGAGAUAGGAAUUAGACUCCAUCUUUUCAAAGGUGGUGUGCAAAGAAUUUCCAGAUGUGUCUUUUUUUUUUUUUUUUUUUUNNNNNNNNNNNNNNNNNNNNNNNNNNNNNNNNNNNNNNNNNNNNNNNNNNNNNNNNNNNNNNNNNNNNNNNNNNNNNNNNNNNNNNNNNNNNNNNNNNNNNNNNNNNNNNNNNNNCUCACGGCAAUGCCGGAUCGUUAACCCACUGAGCAAGGGCAGGGACCGAACCCGCAACCUCAUGGUUCCUAGUCGGAUUCGUUAACCACUGCGCCACGACGGGAACUCCCAGAUGUGUCUUAACAUCAUCUCCAUGGUUACGCCUUAUAACGACUGAUCUUCAUAAUUAUUGGAUGUGUUUUACCCAACAUAAUAGCAGGUACAUAUGUUUCUUCCUUACAAUUUUUAAGUUUAAAACACAGACGUCAUAUUUAUUUUUGUAUUAGAUGCUAAUAUAAUUCUUGGGCAAAUACUUUGGAAAAUGAGGAGAGCUAUAAAUAAAUUAAAUAGAUAGAAUAAACACAUAAAUAUGUGGAUGAAAUGUUCAUAAAGUUGUCAGAGGGAUGGCUUAGAAAAUGUUCUCAACCCCAAGUGCCACUCUUUUACUGUUCUUCUGAAUAUUAUCUUUCGGUGAUAAAGGGUAGUGCUUUAAGCAGUAUUAUUCACAAUUCUAAGCAUGGGUACAAUGAUAGAUGUUGAAAAUAAGCAUCCUUCUACAUUCUUUUACAAAAUCACUAUCCCUAACCCACAGAGACACUUUUCUGAACAGUCUGACUUUGAAAAUAAUUCUAAUUUGAAGCUGAUGGAAACUAGAGUAAUUAUUCAUUCAACCCCGGUAAGUAAUAAUUAAUGUUUGCCUUCUCGUUUAUGCCUCAUGAAAUAUUUCUGCAAUCAGCCGAUAUGCCACCACCUGGAUUAACACUAAGAUGUUUGUUUGGUAUUCGACAGGUGUUAACACUGACUAAGAAUCAGAGCCUUUUAAUUAGCAAAACUCACUUUUUUUUUUUCGAGGGCAUGUUAGGCUUUUAUCAUUUUUUUUUAUAAAUCCUUCUUUUUGAAUAAUAAUGAAACUUUAGCCCAAAUGUCCCCAAAGAGGUGACAAUAGGGGGAAAAAAACCCCACUAACCUCAGAGAAGAAGAAACAUAAGCCAAUGUUUAUACCCUGUCCAUGAUUCUCCCAGAAAGAAUGAUGGUGGACUUCUUGCAAGUAGCUUAAAACUUAGACCUCUAAAAAAGAGUAGCAAGACCAGACAGGAAAUAUUGAAAAUAAGACCAGUCUCAGAUUAAGAGACGUUUGUUAAAGGGAAAACGCACAUGCUGAGAAUUUUUUUGAAGGUGACACUUGCCAUCUGUUACGGAAUCCAUGUACUGAUCUAUUAUCUCAGGUCAUUUCCACAUUUUUCUGUAAGGAAAUCUGAUCAAGAAAUUCAGAAGGGAGAAGCUCUCCAUGGUAAAUGUGCUUUAUAUUUGCCAAUAGUCACCAUACCAAAAAUAAUCAAAAUAUUUUGAGCAAUGAAGAGAGACUCACAGUAGGCAGGCAGGCAGGCAUCCUUGUCUGCCACCUCGCCUUGAGAAAGUAGUGCCAGGUCUUAUGGAGAUUGUCAAGCCUGUGGUCAGAAACCCCAGGUAAGAACUGUUUUAGCAAAGAGUUUUGCUUUAGAAAUAAGCAAAAGAGACACUGCAGAGUCAAAUGGCCAACUAUACUAAAUGUGUAAACUUCUUCCUUUUAGGGUUAAUAACAUUAAUUAAUUUUUAAAGACAAGGUAUUUCCUCCACAUGUAUUCUUUCCUGUUCUCCACAGGUUAGAGGCAGGUUGGACCUAUUGGUCUCUCAUAUGAAGGAUGAAAACAAACAGGCCAUGAGCUCUGAAUGCACACACGGAUGUUAAAGGGUCCUACCACUCAGAUUCUCCCAGUAUAGACCUCAUCGUGUCUGAGGUUUUAAUUAGUAUACUUCUAAAAAAAAUUAUGGUAUAGUGUUGAUUUACACCGUUGUGCCAAUUUCUGCUGUACAGCACCGAGACCCAGUCAGACAUAUGUACACACAUUCUUUUUCUCAUACCAUCUGCCAUCAUGUUCUAUCCCCAGAGACUGGACAUAGUUCCCUGUGCUGUACCGUAGGCCCCCACUGCUCAUCUAUUCUAAAUGUAAUAGUUUGCAUCUACCAACCCCAAACUCCCCAUGCAUCCUACUCCCUCCCCUCUCCCCUCCUGUAACCACUAGUCAGCUCGCCCUGUCCCUUAUAUGUGGAAUCUAAAAUAUGGCACAAAUGAUCCUCUCUGCAAAACAGGAUACUUUAAAAAUACAGUCAAAUACAAUGAAAUAAUAUUUCUAGCUACCUCCAGUAAAAAAAAAAAAAAA
rnacentral:lncRNA from 1 species